rnacentral:snoRNA from 1 species
UGGUGAUGAUGAUAAAACUUAGGCUUGUUUCUCAAAACAUUCGCAGUUGCCGCCUAAGAGCUUUCGCCCUGCCAGGCUUGAGAGCUAAUGCUGCUAAUUCCUUCCUUGGAUGUCUGAGCCA